rnacentral:rRNA from 1 species
UAUCUCUGUAGAGUCUGCAUAUCAAUAAGCGGAGGAAAAGAAACUAACAAGGAUUCCCUUAGUAACGGCGAGUGAAGCGGGAAGAGCUCAAAUUUGAAAUCUUCAAGGUUCUACCUUGACGAAUUGUAGUUUAAAGAAGUGUUUUCUGUUGAAGUUUCGGUAAAAGUUCUUUGGAAUAGGACAUCAUAGAGGGUGAGAAUCCCGUAUUUGACCGAUUUCUUCCAGCUGUGUGAUACACUUUCAAAGAGUCGGAUUGUUUGGGAAUGCAGUCCAAAAUGGGUGGUAAAUUUCAUCUAAAGCUAAAUAUUGGCGAGAGACCGAUAGCGAACGAGUACCGUGAGGGAAAGAUGAAAAGAACUUUGAAAAGAGAGUUAAACAGUACGUGAAAUUGUCAAAAGGGAAGCGUUUGACACCAGUGUUGUUUUCUCGAAAAUCAAUUAAAAAUGGCGUGAUUUUGUGUUGUAUUGACCUUAUAAGCUUUCUGCACUUUUUUCAUGUCUUUUUUAAUGCACUUUUCGUUUAACAAGUCAACAUCAAUUUCUUUUGUUGUAAAAGAGUCAUUGGAAGGUGGCUUUCACUUUCGGAUGAAAGUGUUUAUAGCCUUUGACUUCUGCAAUCGGAGAGAUUGAGGUCUGCAGCGUAGAUCCUUCGGGGUUAGAUACAUUUGUGCUAAGUUAUAGCUUUGUCAUAGACAACAUGUUGACUAUGAUUAAGUCAUGUAGCUUACUCGCUUAUGCUAUUUUACCUACGCUUAGGAUGUUGAACGCGCACAGAGUCUC